rnacentral:rRNA from 1 species
GACGAACGCUGGCGGCGUGCCUAAUAUAUGCCAGUUGAGCGCUGAAGGUUGGUACUUGUACCAACUGGAUGAGCAGCGAACGGGUGAGUAACGCGUGGGGAAUCUGCCUUUGAGCGGGGGACAACAUUUGGAAACGAAUGCUAAUACCGCAUAAAAACUUUAAACACAAGUUUUAAGUUUGAAAGAUGCAAUUGCAUCACUCAAAGAUGAUCCCGCGUUGUAUUAGCUAGUUGGUGAGGUAAAGGCUCACCAAGGCGAUGAUACAUAGCCGACCUGAGAGGGUGAUCGGCCACAUUGGGACUGAGACACGGCCCAAACUCCUACGGGAGGCAGCAGUAGGGAAUCUUCGGCAAUGGACGAAAGUCUGACCGAGCAACGCCGCGUGAGUGAAGAAGGGUUUCGGAUCGUAAAACUCUGUUGGUAGAGAAGAACGUUGGUGAGAGUGGAAAGCUCAUCAAGUGACGGUAACUACCCAGAAAGGGACGGCUAACUACGUG